UGUGGUGGGGAAGGAUUGUGGUGGGAAUGGGUGGUGGUUGGGGGUAAGUUGUGAUGGGAGUGGGUUGUGGAUGAGGAUAGGUCAUGGUUGGGGAUGAAAAUGGAUUGGAUAUGGGUAAGAGGAUGGAGUGGGGAAUGGACUAGAUUGAGUUAGGCAUUGAAGUUCACAGGUGAUAGAAUUGGGUUGCAUUUGAAACAUAUGUUGAGGAUGGUUGGGCAUGCUGCAAAGUUGGUUGUUGAGAUGUUUGAAGAGGUUGCGGAUGGUAAUGAGGAUGGUUUGGUGAUUGGAAAGAAUGUAGAAUUGGGAUGGAGUAGGGGCAUGAGGGAAAGGGAUGUGAAUGAGUUUGAGAUUUGUUGGUGAUGGAGAUGGGACUUGAAGUGGAGGCUGGUAUUGGGGCUGGAGAUAGGGUUGGGCUGGUGGUUGAUGUUUUUUAUGGGAAUGGGUUAGAGAUUUGGAAGGAGAUGGGGUUGGGAUUGUGGAUGAUGGUCAGGAUGGGGAUGGGAUUGGAGUGUGGUGGGGAUGGGAUUGGGUUUCAUGAUUGGCACUCGAGGAGGUACUCCUUGCCUUGGUUCCUGAGGGAAGUGCCAUGCCUGUCAGGAUGCUGGUGAUGAAAGUGAAGAAAUCCAGCAUGGAUGGGUUGGAGCCGGUAAAGAGGAUGGUGCUUAUUAGGGCUAUGCAAAGGCAGAAGCUGGUGAUGCUGGAGAAGAGGAGGAAGGCCCAGGAAAGGUCCAGCAAGUCUGGGGAAGGAAGAUAAUCAGGAACACCAUGAUUGGCCCAGGCUCUGAGUAUGGGGACAAGGGUCACCAGUUGGUGUGGGAGUAUUCUCAAAGCUCCUCCCUUGCAAAUUAUUUAUUCUCAUUUUAGGAAAAUUUAAAUUGGUCUCCAGAGAAGAGACAUUGAGACUGAUACUUCCAGCACUGAGGAUCUACCUCUAGAAGUCUAGCUCAGAACUUGGCCUCCGGCCUGGGCACUGCCUCAUACCUGCCAGAAUUGAUCUCAAUGGAGCUGCACAAUGAGAGGUUUUGCAUGUUGUCUAGAGGACUUUGGUUGAGUUCAGAGCUGAGCACACUUGCCUUCAGACUCUCCUGGGACUCCCAGUUCUCAUCCAUAUGAGCAAGCGCUUCAUAUUACUGGCCGUGGCCCUGUGCUGAGUCCUCCUCCCGCCCAUGGCCCUCUCCUCCUGGCCUGUGGUCCUCCGCCUGAACAUGGCCGACUUUGUCUUCAGUUUCCUCUGCCUCGGCAUUGGGCUCCUGAUUUCUCUUCAGCCUGACGCUCUUUUCAGUUAACUGCAAGGCGGUGCACCCAAGUCCGAUGGUGUCCUACCUGGUGACCUCCUACCUGUGCUGGGACGCCAGCGACUUGAGGCUGCACUCCGGAGCCGUGUCCUACCUAAGCCCAGUGGGCAUGUGAAGCAGAGGGCAGCCCUUGAAUGCGCGGCGGCUGAGCUACCGCGGGUGGGCCGUGCAGCAGGGCGCAGCGAGGCGGACAUCCAAACAGCGGAACUCAGACACUGACUCCGAGCACACCCCGGGCCUUCCCAUUUCAUACACCCUCGAGGAUGAGACCCAAGCACCUCCAAGGAAUAGCACCCGAGGUCUUCAGGACACCGACCGGUAGCCAUGGCCAGAUGCCCGGCCAACCCCUUCAGCGUGGUCACGCCCCGGAUAUUCGACCUCCCCUGAGGCCCCACCCCCUGAUAUCAGGCCACGCCCUCCGAGGGGACCGGUGGCAAACUCCAACCCUCGCUCUAGGGCCCGCCCUUUGCGGCUUUAUCCCUGCCCACUGGGUCCUCACAGUACCUCCACCCCAGAAGUCCAGCAUCCCCUCCCGUUCUGCAGACACUUGUCCAGCGUCCCGCUGAGCUUGGCAGUGUGGCUAGUUUGUGUGGCCCUGCCCCUGGUGCCCAGCCUUCGCAGGCCACACCCUGAAGCCACUCUCCACCCCCUCAGCCAGGGUGGUCUGCAUGGAACUUCUUUCCCGGAGUUCCAGCCUCAGCUCCGAUGUCCACCCUUGUCCCCAGGUGGACACAGCACCGCCCAGCAUUUGGUGCAACUCCACCCUUCUGCGGAACGGGCCCCUCCCUGGGAAGGCAUGGCUUGCAAUAACAUCCCUCUGUACCUUUUCUGGCUUCCCCGCCACAAUAAAACCGCUCAGCCUCA